rnacentral:lncRNA from 1 species
CUCUUGAUCCGUCGGGGCUUGUAGCGGUUGCAGUUUGCCAUGGGUUCGCUCUGUUCGUGGCAGUUUCAGUCGGGGCUAACAUCUCCGGUGGUCACGUCAACCCUGCCGUUACUUUCGGAUUAGCUCUUGGUGGCCAAAUUACUCUUCUUACUGGCCUCUUCUACUGGAUUGCUCAACUUUUGGGCGCCACUGUUGCCUCUUACCUCCUCAAAGUUGUCACCGGAGGAUUGGUAAGUCCCUAUCUCUCAAACGAAAAUUAAGUUAUAUACAUUGUCUGGUAUAAUUUUUUUUAUAUUGUCGGUAUAAUUUAAGUUGUUACAUGCUAUGUCUUACUAAUUAACCAUGUAUAUAAUUAGUGUAGACACUAACUUACAAUUGGAUUUUUAUGUAUUCUAAUAAUAUAAAUAUUUUUUACAUCAUAAAUACAUUAAAUUUUAUCGAGCUUUCUUAUGAAAGUGGAAGCAUCCUUCCUAGACUUCUCAAUCUACAUAAAACAAUUUAAUUCCCAUGGCUAUACCUGGGAGCGGAUUCAGGAUUUAAAAGUUGGAUUCAACCAAAAUUUGUUUUGUAUAUAAGAUGUCCAUUACGUAAUAUAUCACUAUUUUUUAAAGACAUAUAUAUGUAUGUAUAAAAAAUUUGUCAAACUUUAUAGGUGUUGGUGACCCGUCUCGGUCUAACAUAGGUCCGCCUCUGGCUAUACCAAAGGCGAAUCUAGGAUUAAAGCCGGUACUUUCAGAAUGAGCAUGAUCUUAUUAUAUUUUUAUACAUUUUAUUUUAUAUUCUUGCAUAUGUUUAUAUAGUUCCAGCUGAAAAUAGUAAAUCUAUAUAUAGAACUGAUUCUAGAUCUGCCUCUAACUAUAAUUCAGUUUUUAGCCAUAUUUUGACAUCUAACUUAUUUUCUUUUGUUUUUUUCCUUAGGCUGUUCCAAUCCACAGUGUAGCAGCUGGAGUAGGAGCUGUUGAAGGAGUAGUGAUGGAAAUUAUCAUCACAUUUGCAUUGGUUUACACAGUGUACGCCACAGCAGCUGACCCAAAGAAGGGUUCAUUGGGCACCAUUGCACCCAUUGCCAUUGGUUUCAUUGUUGGUGCCAACAUCUUGGCUGCUGGCCCGUUCUCUGGUGGUUCAAUGAACCCAGCUCGGUCCUUUGGACCUGCAGUGGCUAGUGGUAACUUCGCCGGUCACUGGAUUUACUGGGUUGGACCCCUUGUUGGUGGUGGUUUGGCUGGUCUUAUUUACAGUAAUGUGUUCAUGAACCAUGACCAUGCCCCUCUAUCCACCGAUUUUUAAGUUUUAAUUAAUUUCUAUGUUGUUAGAAUUUGAUUAUUGUGUUUGAAAAUGUAUUUUGCAUUAUUUUCUUUGUAAUAAAAGGAAGAAAAAAGCAAUAUUUUGCUCUUUCUUUCUUUUGUAGUAGUACCUUUUGUUUUUUGUUUUUUGUUUUUUGUCUCUUUGUAGCUUUUGGUUUGCAGCUGUACACAUUUGGUGACAUGUUGUUGUCGAAUUGAUUUUAUGGAUUUGGUGAGAUCGAAGGGCCAUCAUAUUCAUUGAUGUUGUUGUGCUUUUAUCUUUUUGAAAUUUCAUUGUUCCCCU